GCUGAAGAGAAGGAGCUUGCUCUUCUUGGAUGAGUUGCGAACGGGUGAGUAACGCGUAGGUAACCUGCCUGAUAGCGGGGGAUAACUAUUGGAAACGAUAGCUAAUACCGCAUAACAAUUUUUGUUGCAUGACAAGAAUUUGAAAGGUGCAAUUGCACCACUAUCAGAUGGACCUGCGUUGUAUUAGCUAGUUGGUGGGGUAACGGCUCACCAAGGCGACGAUACAUAGCCGACCUGAGAGGGUGAUCGGCCACACUGGGACUGAGACACGGCCCAGACUCCUACGGGAGGCAGCAGUAGGGAAUCUUCGGCAAUGGGGGCAACCCUGACCGAGCAACGCCGCGUGAGUGAAGAAGGUUUUCGGAUCGUAAAGCUCUGUUGUAAGAGAAGAACGGAUGUGAGAGUGGAAAGUUCACAUCGUGACGGUAACUUACCAGAAAGGGACGGCUAACUACGUGCCAGCAGCCGCGGUAAUACGUAGGUCCCGAGCGUUAUCCGGAUUUAUUGGGCGUAAAGCGAGCGCAGGCGGUUAGAUAAGUCUGAAGUUAAAGGCUGUGGCUUAACCAUAGUACGCUUUGGAAACUGUUUGACUUGAGUGCAAGAGGGGAGAGUGGAAUUCCAUGUGUAGCGGUGAAAUGCGUAGAUAUAUGGAGGAACACCUGUGGCGAAAGCGGCUCUCUGGCUUGUAACUGACGCUGAGGCUCGAAAGCGUGGGUAGCGAACAGGAUUAGAUACCCUGGUAGUCCACGCCGUAAACGAUGAGUGCUAGGUGUUAGGCCCUUUCCGGGGCUUAGUGCCGCAGCUAACGCAUUAAGCACUCCGCCUGGGGAGUACGACCGCAAGGUUGAAACUCAAAGGAAUUGACGGGGGCCCGCACAAGCGGUGGAGCAUGUGGUUU
rnacentral:rRNA from 1 species